rnacentral:rRNA from 1 species
AUGAACGCUAGCUACAGGCUUAACACAUGCAAGUCGAGGGGCAGCAUUUUAGUUUGCUUGCAAACUAAAGAUGGCGACCGGCGCACGGGUGAGUAACACGUAUCCAACCUGCCGAUAACUCGGGGAUAGCCUUUCGAAAGAAAGAUUAAUAUCCGAUAGUAUAUUAAAACCGCAUGGUUUUACUAUUAAAGAAUUUCGGUUAUCGAUGGGGAUGCGUUCCAUUAGUUUGUUGGCGGGGUAACGGCCCACCAAGACUACGAUGGAUAGGGGUUCUGAGAGGAAGGUCCCCCACAUUGGAACUGAGACACGGUCCAAACUCCUACGGGAGGCAGCAGUGAGGAAUAUUGGUCAAUGGACGAGAGUCUGAACCAGCCAAGUAGCGUGAAGGAUGACUGCCCUAUGGGUUGUAAACUUCUUUUAUAUGGGAAUAAAGUAUUCCACGUGUGGAAUUUUGUAUGUACCAUAUGAAUAAGGAUCGGCUAACUCCGUGCCAGCAGCCGCGGUAAUACGGAGGAUCCGAGCGUUAUCCGGAUUUAUUGGGUUUAAAGGGAGCGUAGGUGGAUUGUUAAGUCAGUUGUGAAAGUUUGCGGCUCAACCGUAAAAUUGCAGUUGAAACUGGCAGUCUUGAGUACAGUAGAGGUGGGCGGAAUUCGUGGUGUAGCGGUGAAAUGCUUAGAUAUCACGAAGAACUCCGAUUGCGAAGGCAGCUCACUAGACUGCAACUGACACUGAUGCUCGAAAGUGUGGGUAUCAAACAGGAUUAGAUACCCUGGUAGUCCACACAGUAAACGAUGAAUACUCGCUGUUUGCGAUAUACAGUAAGCGGCCAAGCGAAAGCAUUAAGUAUUCCACCUGGGGAGUACGCCGGCAACGGUGAAACUCAAAGGAAUUGACGGGGGCCCGCACAAGCAGUGGAGUAUGUGGUUUAAUUCGAAGCAACGCGAAGAACCUUACCAGGGCUUGACAUAUAGAUGAAUAACUAAGAGAUUAGUUAGUCCUUCGGGACAUCUAUACAGGUGGUGCAUGGUUGUCGUCAGCUCGUGCCGUGAGGUGUCGGCUUAAGUGCCAUAACGAGCGCAACCCUUAUCUUUAGUUACUAACAGGUCAUGCUGAGGACUCUAGAGAGACUGCCGUCGUAAGAUGUGAGGAAGGUGGGGAUGACGUCAAAUCAGCACGGCCCUUACGUCCGGGGCUACACACGUGUUACAAUGGGGGGUACAGAAGGCAGCUACCUGGCGACAGGAUGCUAAUCCCAAAAACCUCUCUCAGUUCGGAUCGAAGUCUGCAACCCGACUUCGUGAAGCUGGAUUCGCUAGUAAUCGCGCAUCAGCCAUGGCGCGGUGAAUACGUUCCCGGGCCUUGUACACACCGCCCGUCAAGCCAUGAAAGCCGGGGGUACCUGAAGUACGUAACCGCAAGGAGCGUCCUAGGGUAAAACUGGUAAUUGGGGCU